CUUGAAUACGCAGUUGAUCAAAGUCGACAGCGCCUAGAAAACACAGCCCGGCGGCUGUUGCAACGCUCUGCAACGUGACACAUCGUUAGUCUCCAUAAAAGUCUGGGAUCGUAAAGUCGCAAACACGCUACGGAUUUGCUGUAUCCUGAUCAUCUGCACUGAAGGGUCCCGCAGAACCUGCAAAACACCGCGAUGAAGUAGCCAGUAUAGACGCAACCAGCAACUUGGUUCUUUGCUGAAUUAAAAGUCAGAGCCUGAAUGACAACCUGUUGGACGCGAGCAAUUUUUUCCAAGACGCGAGCGUUAAUUUCCCGCUGCUCUCCGGCUGGAGAUCUGUACGAUCGGAACGAACGCGUUCCUCUGGCGCGCUCGAAGGUCUCCCAAGAUUGUUUCUUAUAUCGCAUAUGCGGUCACACGGCUAACUCUCGUCCUGGUACUACAGCCAACAUUUGUACGAAGUAAUCCGCAGGGUUGUAAUUGGUAGGACAGGCGGCACCAAGUCUGAAAGGGAUAAAUUGUCGUCGUAAACAUUAUUAAGAAGAUCUAAAAGCAAGCGAAGAACUUUAACGACUAAACUUACGUCUUAAAGAAAGAACAAGCUUGUUCCGUUGAUCCCAUAAAGGCGAUCCUUCCCUCAGCCAUCAGCAGAAUCUUGUCGAACAAAGCGAACAGCUCCGACGAGGGUUGAUGUAAGAACUUUUUUACUGAUUUGCUUACCCGCCAGUGUUUUCAAAAUGGAAACAACCUGGUGAGCCAUGAAGGAAUCCAAGCCCGACGUCGGCUCAUCGCAAAACAUCAGUGGAGGAUCGGUCAGUAUCUCGGACGCGAGGGAU